rnacentral:rRNA from 1 species
GACGAACGCUGGCGGCGUGCUUAACACAUGCAAGUCGAACGGAAAGGCCCUGCUUUUGUGGGGUGCUCGAGUGGCGAACGGGUGAGUAACACGUGAGUAACCUGCCCUUGACUUUGGGAUAACUUCAGGAAACUGGGGCUAAUACCGGAUAGGAGCUCCUGCUGCAUGGUGGGGGUUGGAAAGUUUCGGCGGUUGGGGAUGGACUCGCGGCUUAUCAGCUUGUUGGUGGGGUAGUGGCUUACCAAGGCUUUGACGGGUAGCCGGCCUGAGAGGGUGACCGGCCACAUUGGGACUGAGAUACGGCCCAGACUCAUAAGGGAGGCAGCAGUGGGGAAUAUUGCACAAUGGGCGGAAGCCUGAUGCAGCAACGCCGCGUGCGGGAUGACGGCCUUCGGGUUGUAAACCGCUUUCGCCUGUGACGAAGCGUGAGUGACGGUAAUGGGUAAAGAAGCACCGGCUAACUACGUG